UUGCUUUUUCUUUCACAUUUCUCUGCUUAUUGAAUGACUAUUGCUAACUCAUUAGAUAGAACCUACUUCUCAUAUAAGUAGGUGGAUGCGGCCUCGAUUAGCGGGGGAACCACAUGAAAAAAAGCGAGCUACUGGGUGUACCUCCUGGGUAGUUUGGAAAUCACCUAAUAUAUAUAUGUAUAUAUUUAUAAAUAAAAGUUAAUAUAUAUAAAUUAACAUUAUUUUUUUUUAACAGGAAAUGCACAAUGCUAAAAACUGCGUAGGAGAUUUUAAUACAAUAGUACUACCAAGCCUGAUGUUGGCCGCUAUUUCAAUGAAUGCAGCAGUGUGACAGCCAGCAAUCAAAAGUAACAAGAUAUCGAGGAAAUGCAGAAGGCAAAAAACUGCGUAGGAGAUCAUUAAUACAAUAGUAUUAUAUAAACCAAGCCUGAUGUUGGCCGCUCAUUCAAAGAAUGCAGCAGUGUGACAGCCAGCAAUCAAAAGUAACAAGAUGUCGAGGAAAUGCAGAGUGUAAUAAACUGUGUAGGAGAUUAUGAUUGCAAUAGAAUAAAAUCGACCAAGCCUGAAGUCCUUCAAUGCACGCAGCAGUGUGACAGCCAGCAAUCAAAAGUUACAAUAUAUCGAGGAAAUACAGAAGGCAAAGAAGCAGAUGUCAUCAAAGAAGAUCUUUGUUCCUGAAAUGUUUCCGCAGACGAUACAUCCAACAGAGCGAAGUGGAAGGAAAAGACUCGGAAAAAAGACCCCACCACCAUAUGGGAACAAUGCAAGGGAGAGAGA